CCACUGCCCUGAAAGGGACUGAUGGGGUCUGGGGCUUUUCGGGGUGGAUCCCGGGAACCCACUGUCUAUUGGAAGCCUGGAGCCUCAGGUAACUCUGGAAAACUCAGGCAAUCAAGGAACUGGAGGCUAUCCAGGGAAGACUGACAAUUAGGUUUCACUCAUAUGCCAAGGUCAAAGGAAUUCCAACAUCUGUUGCCAGCCUGCCUGUAGAACCAUGCAGUGGGCCAUAUCAACCAACCCUUGGGUAGACUCUAACUGCUGUACCCCCACACUGUCCCUUAUCAGCUUGAAGAAGCCAGAACAGUCGUCAUCCCUGUUCCCUAAGUAAAGUGGCCAGAGUGGGUCCCUGGAUUCACCACAGCAGAGUGAAGCUGGAAUCUUUAAACUGGGAGUGCAUUCCUGAUCCAUCAACGCCGUGCACACUAACCAUAUAGAAGAAGCAUUCUGCAACUCCAGAGGCUCCAGGAGACUGCAGCCCUGCUUUAGUCACUCCGGAAGCUGACUAAUCUACGCACGGCAGAAGCUUGAGGAAUCGGUGGUACAGAGGAACAAACAGACUGUCCUUCUUUUCUGUAUCUGUUUCCUUAAUGUGAUGUGCUAUUACCCCUUG